AUGGAUGCCAACUGGGUUUCAUACAUGCUCAAGAGAUUGUCCUUUUUCUCUUCAGAUGUCUUAAAACAAAAUCCCAAACUGGCUUUGUCUGCUUGAAGACCUAUUUCUAAUGUACACUGACAGAAUAAUCUAAUUUCUGUGAUGCUUAUCAGGUAUUCUGAAAUUUUCUGCAAGAUAUUCAUAAUGAUGGGACUAAAGCUGAUAAUCACAGAACAGAAAUUGGACUAAAUGAAAGAUCUUUUGUUUGACAUUUUGAAAAACCAAGAAACUUGGAAAUCAGUGCAUUACUUGUCCUGUUUCAUAUAGUUCUUUCUUAUUGCAUCUUUGUUUCUUUUUAUUUGCUUCUGAGUGGUACCUGCUGAACUGGUGGAGCUUGGAAGCCUUGACCCUCUGUAGAAGAAUUCUAAUGUAAAUAGCUGCAGUAUAGACUUGCAUACAAAUGUUGUAUAACUUGGUCCUGCUCUGUUUAUCCAUAAUACCCAUUUCACUGCUUGGUGUAUGAUUAAAAAUCGUCAACAACCAUGCUACUAUGAUACAUGCGCUGAUGUGUAUAUUGCUGACUUGAAUGCCCACUGUCAACAUAACCUUGCAGGCCACUAAAUGUUAUUUUGCUGUAAUCUAUGUUACUACUCUACUAUUUAUGAUUUUUGAUUAGAAACCAAAAUGACUUUAUGAUGUUUUUAUUGAAAUAUAAAUACUGAGAAUGUUGGUCUCCACCCAUUAAUCUCUAUUUAGCACAUUGUAAAAUAUAACAUAGUGAAUAUAUAUCAUCAAUAUUCUUUUCAUUUACUGAGAUAUUCCUGACUGCUAAACUUAAUGCUAUCAUUUCAGUUUUUGUCAGUGUCGCAUACUUGGCUCCUGAACAAGUAGUUCUGUGAAAAAUUUUAGCUAUAUGCCACCCAACAAAACCAAACCAUUAGUCAGCAUCAUGCUAAAGCAUACUGAUAGCAAACUUAAUUUCCUUAGCAUUGACAUUUGGGGUGAGGGGAGGCAGCAGGGAAUCUUAUGUUGCAUGCUAUAUCAUAACAAUAUCAGAAGAGACUUCCAUACUGAAAAAUCAGUAAGACAUUUUGAUAGAAGAGUUUAAACUUUCUGAAAUAAGGAAUAGUGUGCCCAUUACAUGAACUGUUUGCACUGUUCAUGUAUUAAAACUACAUGUUCUGCAGUUGUUUUGUGUCUAACUGAAGUAGUACAUGAGAGAUAAUGAGAUACAUUGAUAUACCAAAUAAUGACAUUUGGAUAACCUAGUGCUCCCAAAACUGCUUAUUCAGUUAUCAUGAGUGCUGUGAUUUUGAGUGCUGUCAUUGCCACUGUAAGCUCUCUUUGAAUACAACUAUGACUUAAA